rnacentral:rRNA from 1 species
GCGUUGCUCGGAAUCAUUGGGCGUAAAGAGGGCGUAGGUGGCUUUGUAAGUCAGGUGUGAAAGCCCUGGGCUCAACCCAGGAAGUGCAUUUGAAACUGCGAAGCUUGAGUGUUGGAGAGGUCAUCGGAAUACCUGGUGUAGUGGUGAAAUACGUAGAUAUCAGGUGGAACACCGGAGGCGAAGGCGGGUGACUGGCCAAACACUGACACUGAGGCCCGAAAGCGUG